GACGAACGCUGGCGGCGUGCUUAACACAUGCAAGUCGAACGAAGAGCGAUGGAAGCUUGCUUCUAUCAAUCUUAGUGGCGAACGGGUGAGUAACGCGUAAUCAACCUGCCCUUCAGAGGGGGACAACAGUUGGAAACGACUGCUAAUACCGCAUACGAUCUAACCUCGGCAUCGAGGAAAGAUGAAAGGUGGCCUCUAUGUAUAAGCUAUCACUGAAGGAGGGGAUUGCGUCUGAUUAGCUAGGUGGGGGGGUAACGGCCCACCAAGGCGAUGAUCAGUAGCCGGUCUGAGAGGAUGGACGGCCACAUUGGGACUGAGACACGGCCCAGACUCCUACGGGAGGCAGCAGUGGGGAAUCUUCCGCAAUGGACGAAAGUCUGACGGAGCAACGCCGCGUGAGGGAUGACGGCCUUCGGGUUGUAAAGCUCUGUUAAUCGGGACGAAAGGCCUUCUUGCGAAUAGUGAGAAGGAUUGACGGUACCGGAAUAGAAAGCCACGGCUAACUACGUG
rnacentral:rRNA from 1 species